UCAGCAAAUACUCGUGCCUGCAAAGCAUCCAUCAGAGCUGCCAUCUGGCUAAAAAUAAAAUAAUUCUGCUACUGGCAAAAAAUAAAGGGUUUCAGAGACCAAAGAACAGUCUCUUGCCAGCCCAGAUGAACUAAAAACCACUCACGGCUCUGCUGAUGGCUGAACGAGCAUCUUGCCACAUCUAAAGAGAGUCUGAAAAUCAGACAGACAGCACAGUGUCACCCAGAGGACAGCACAGAAAGGAGGAACCACUGCAGGAGUGUGCCUGGAGGUGCUGGCAGCAGGAAGAUGGACGUGCUGCAGGAUGUGGAGCUCCUGCAUCCCCACCAACAGAAGACCCAGUUUUUUCCGCCCAGCUCUCCAUCCCCACCCCUCCCAGAGGUCCCCCGUGGCACAGGGUGUGCUGUCCUCAGUUCUGAACAGAGAGCCCCGCUCAAACACUGAAUCAGGAGGGGAUCCACAGAAACACAAAGCACUUGGGUCUGCUCACACAGAAUUCCAGGCUAGUGGGGAAGAGAAAAAUCGGGGGAAUUAUCCGUUCAUAAUUGUAAUAUCCAUUACAAGACAAGGAUUCUAA